CAAACAUAUAGUGAUAUUUCUUGGAUUUCCCCCCAUAUCUUUUAUAUCUCCCCCCCCUGGUCAACUUGGCAGCACUGUACUAUUCUACGUGUGAACAAUAACCCCAAUAGUAUCAUCUACAGUGACUACUACACAUGCACACAAAGUGAUUUCAAAAAAACUUCGAGAUGCUAUUAACUAAGUCUUAUCAAUUUUUAAGACAGUCUGAAAAUUGGGGAAAAUCAAGCGCAGGUUUUGGCUAUUUACUGCAUAAUAUUUUCUUUCGCAGCGCUUAUGUUAAUGUAUACGAACAAAAUUUGCAUAACAUAUUUGGACUACAUGUAGUAUACAUGCCGAUAUACAAGUAUUAUAUUAUGCGAUAGUUUGUCCAAGUUAAGUUAAAAUCCAUACCUUGCCGGCAACUAAUGUUCCUUCGCAAGCUUGCCUUCGAUUCGAAAAAGAUAUAUCGAUAAUGAAGAAUGAAUAUCAUGCAACCAUCACAAAUCAAGAUUUUUCUAUUUUAAAGUACUAUGUAAAUUCUAGAACAACGCCAACAUGUAAACAACCUCGUUCUCAAACUGGAAAUUAGCCAUUCGGAUUAGUUUAAUUAAUGUAUAUGCAUGGGCUACUGUUUU